rnacentral:rRNA from 1 species
AAAACUACGGUCUCAGUUCAGAUUGCAGGCUGCAACUCGCCUGCAUGAAGUUGGAAUUGCUAGUAAUCGCGAAUCAGAAUGUCGCGGUGAAUACGUUCCCGGGCCUUGUACACACCGCCCGUCACACCAUGAGAGUCGAUAACACCCGAAGCCUGUGAGCUAACCUUUUAGGAGGCAGCAGUCGAAGGUGGGGUUGAUGAUUGGGGUGAAGUCGUAACAAGGUAUC